rnacentral:rRNA from 1 species
UACGAAGGGGGCUAGCGUUGCUCGGAUUGACUGGGCGUAAAGGGCGCGUAGGCGGCUUACACAGUCAGACGUGAAAUUCCUGGGCUCAACCUGGGGGCUGCGUUUGAUACAUGUAGGCUUGAGUUCGGAAGAGGGUCGUGGAAUUCCCAGUGUAGAGGUGAAAUUCGUAGAUAUUGCUCGGAAGGCCAACGGCGAAGGCAGGUUACUGGUGCGCAACUGACACUGAGGCACGAAAGCGUGGGGAGCAAACAGG